rnacentral:rRNA from 1 species
UGGGGAAUCUUCCGCAAUGGACGAAAGUCUGACGGAGCAACGCCGCGUGAGUGAUGACGGCCUUCGGGUUGUAAAGCUCUGUUAAUCGGGACGAAAGGCCUUCUUGCGAAUAGUGAGAAGGAUUGACGGUACCGGAAUAGAAAGCCACGGCUAACUACGUGCCAGCAGCCGCGGUAAUACGUAGGUGGCAAGCGUUGUCCGGAAUUAUUGGGCGUAAAGCGCGCGCAGGCGGAUAGGUCAGUCUGUCUUAAAAGUCCGGGGCUUAACCCCGUGAUGGGAUGGAAACUGCCAAUCUAGAGUAUCGGAGAGGAGAGUGGAAUUCCUAGUGUAGCGGUGAAAUGCGUAGAUAUUAGGAAGAACACCAGUGGCGAAGGCGACUUUCUGGACGAAAACUGACGCUGAGGCGCGAAAGCCAGGGGAGCGAACGGGAUUAGAUACCCCGGUAGUCCUGGCCGUAAACGAUGGGUACUAGGUGUAGGAGGUAUCGACCCCUUCUGUGCCGGGAGUUAACGCAAUAAGUACCCCGCCUGGGGAGUACGACCGCAAGGUUG